rnacentral:lncRNA from 1 species
AAAGUAAAAGUGACUUCCACAUGAUCUUUUGCUUUAACUCCCUCCAUCACUCUUCAUAAUGUACUGUUUGUUCCCUCUUUCAAAUACAAUUUAAUUUCUGUCCACAAACUAGUAAAACAGUUGCAUUGUAGUGUCAUGUUUACUGCAACUUCCUGUUUCCUUCACAUGUUACAGGCCCCUUCUCUGAAAAUGCCUCUGGAUCUUGGUAAAGAGGAGGCUGGUAUGUACAAAUUUACUUGGGUGCCCUCUUCACCUUCUUCUGUUAAUUGUUGUUCCUCUACUUCUGUAUGCUCCAUUUCUGAUUCUUGUACUCCUGUUUGUUCUUCUAACCUUAAAUCUGUUGUUUUGAAUUCCAAUGUAAAUAGUUCCAUUUGUAAUAAUAAAACUGAUGUAAAUGACAUGAAUUACAUUUGGCAUUUAAGACCGGCCCACAUUCCUUUUGCAAGCAUGAAACACAUUCCUGCUUUAUCUUUUCCUUUUGCUUCCAAACAACCAUUUCCUUGUUUUAUUUGUCCCAUGGCUAGGCAAACUAGACUUCCUUUUCCUGACAGUUUAAUCAGUACCUGUUGACCUUUCCAACUGAAUCAUGUAGACACUUGGGGCCCUUAUCACACACCCACCUCUUCUGGCUCAAGGUACUUUCUUACAAUAGUUGAUGAUUUUUCUAGGGCAACCUAGACACAUUUACUAGGGUCUAAAAGCAAUGCUUUAAGCCUUCUUAAGUCUUUUUUGUGUAUGGCUAAGACUCAAUUUAAUGCUACUGUACAAACUAUCAGAAGUGAUAAUGCUUUGGAAUUGGGGUCUAGUCUUGCUGGUAUUUCUUUCUUCAACCAACAGGGCAUUAUUCAUCAAACUACUUGUCCCCACACUCCUCAACAAAAUGGUGUUAUUGAAGGAAAACAUAGGACCCUCCUUGAAGCAUGCAGAGCUUUACUUUUUAAAUCCAAAUUACCUAUUCAUUUUUGGGGGGACUGUUUAUGACUGCCACCUACUUGCUUAAUAGGAUUCCAUCCAGAAUCCUUCACAACAAAUCUCCUUAUGAACUAUUGUAUGGUAAGUACCCUACUUAUUCACAUUUAAGGGCAUUUGGCUGUCUUGCCUAUGCCACCGUACUAAUCACACAGAGAGAUAAGCUGAAACCUAGAGCUAUUUCCUGUGUUUUUCUGGGAUAUCCCUUUGCCAAAAAGGGUUACAGGCUAUAUGACCUAACUAAUAAGAAGUAUUUUGUGUCCAGGGAUGUUAUUUUUCAUGAAACAUGCUUUCCUUUUGACUCUGCUUCUGCUGUUACCUCUGGUCCUUCUGCUUUUCCUUCUCCUUCUGUUCCUUCCCCUGAGCUUCCCUGUUCUGAGAUUGAUCUACCUGUUCCCCUUUGCCCUUCUCCUCCUGCUUCUUUUCCUUCUGACUCCAGUCCUGUUUCCUCUUCCCUUCCUCCCUCCCCUCUUUCUGAUUUUAAUAAUCCUGCCUCCCAUACUCUUUUCAACCCUGAUCCUUCUCCUCAUGCUAUUUAUUCCCCUGCUGCCUCUAUUGGACACAGAAGAUCUGGCAUGCCACAUAAUCCCCCCUCUUAUCUCAAUGAUUAUGUUUGUCACUUCCCUCAUUUUUCUGGCUCUUCCUCCUCUUCUUCUCCUUUGGAAUAUGAACCCCUCUAUUAUUCUCAAGCAGCAUCAGUCCCAGCUUGGCAGGAGGCCAUGAGCAAGGAGUUUNNNNNNNNNNNNNNNNNNNNNNNNNNNNNNNNNNNNNNNNNNNNNNNNNNNNNNNNNNNNNNNUUCCCUCCUCUUCUUCUCCUUUGGAAUAUGAACCCCUCUAUUAUUCUCAAGCUGCAUCAGUCCCAGCAUUGUAGGAUGCCAUGAGCAAGGAAUUUGAGGCUUUGGAUGCCAACCAUACUUGGGAUAUUGUUCCACUUCCUCCUGGUAAGAAGCCCAUAGGCUGCAAAAUGGGUUUAUAGAAUUAAAUAUAAGGCUGAUGGUAGUGUUGAAAGAUACAAGGCUAGGCUUGUCAUUAGGGGUGACA